UACAGAGGUCUCAAGCGUUGUUCGGAUUCAUUGGGCGUAAAGGGUGCGUAGGUGGUUGGGUAGGUCAAAUGUGAAAUCCCGGAGCUCAACUCCGGAACUGCAUUCGAUACUGCCCGGCUCGAGGAUUGGAGAGGAGACUGGAAUUCGAGGUGUAGCAGUGAAAUGCGUAGAGAUCGUGAGGAACACCCGUGGCGAAGGCGGGUCUCUGGACAAUUCCUGACACUGAGGCAAGAAGGCCAGGGGAGCAAACGGG
rnacentral:rRNA from 1 species